rnacentral:ncRNA from 1 species
GCGAAGCACUGAAUUGGAUUCUUCGGAUGAAGGAUCUUGUGACUGAGCGGCGGACGGGUGAGUAACGCGUGGGCAACCUGCCUUACACAGGGGGAUAACAGUUAGAAAUGACUGCUAAUACCGCAUAAGACCACAGUACCGCAUGGUGCAGGUGGUAAAAACUCCGGUGGUGUAAGAUGGGCCCGCGUCUGAUUAGGUAGUUGGCGGGGUAACGGCCCACCAAGCCGACGAUCAGUAGCCGACCUGAGAGGGUGACCGGCCACAUUGGGACUGAGACACGGCCCAGACUCCUACGGGAGGCAGCA